GACGAACGCUGGCGGCGUGCCUAAUACAUGCAAGUCGAACGCACUCUCGUUUAGAUUGAAGGAGCUUGCUCCUGAUUGAUAAACAUUUGAGUGAGUGGCGGACGGGUGAGUAACACGUGGGUAACCUGCCCUAAAGUGGGGGAUAACAUUUGGAAACAGAUGCUAAUACCGCAUAAAACCUAACACCGCAUGGUGUAGGGUUGAAAGAUGGUUUCGGCUAUCACUUUAGGAUGGACCCGCGGUGCAUUAGUUAGUUGGUGAGGUAAAGGCUCACCAAGACCGUGAUGCAUAGCCGACCUGAGAGGGUAAUCGGCCACACUGGGACUGAGACACGGCCCAGACUCCUACGGGAGGCAGCAGUAGGGAAUCUUCCACAAUGGACGAAAGUCUGAUGGAGCAACGCCGCGUGAGUGAAGAAGGUUUUCGGAUCGUAAAACUCUGUUGUUGGAGAAGAAUAGUAUCUGAUAGUAACUGAUCAGGUAGUGACGGUAUCCAACCAGAAAGCC
rnacentral:rRNA from 1 species